GCUUGCUGGGGUGAUUAGUGGCGAACGGGUGAGUAACACGUGAGUAACCUGCCCUUGACUCUGGGAUAAGCCUGGGAAACUGGGUCUAAUACCGGAUAUGACCUUCCAUCGCAUGGUGGUUGGUGGAAAGCUUUUGUGGUUUUGGAUGGACUCGCGGCCUAUCAGCUUGUUGGUGGGGUAAUGGCCUACCAAGGCGACGACGGGUAGCCGGCCUGAGAGGGUGACCGGCCACACUGGGACUGAGACACGGCCCAGACUCCUACGGGAGGCAGCAGUGGGGAAUAUUGCACAAUGGGCGCAAGCCUGAUGCAGCGACGCCGCGUGAGGGAUGACGGCCUUCGGGUUGUAAACCUCUUUCAGUAGGGAAGAAGCGUAAGUGACGGUACCUGCAGAAGAAGCGCCGGCUAACUACGUGCCAGCAGCCGCGGUAAUACGUAGGGCGCAAGCGUUAUCCGGAAUUAUUGGGCGUAAAGAGCUCGUAGGCGGUUUGUCGCGUCUGCCGUGAAAGUCCGGGGCUCAACUCCGGAUCUGCGGUGGGUACGGGCAGACUAGAGUGAUGUAGGGGAGACUGGAAUUCCUGGUGUAGCGGUGAAAUGCGCAGAUAUCAGGAGGAACACCGAUGGCGAAGGCAGGUCUCUGGGCAUUAACUGACGCUGAGGAGCGAAAGCAUGGGGAGCGAACAGGAUUAGAUACCCUGGUAGUC
rnacentral:rRNA from 1 species